CAGAAGUGCCCACACCAAUCUCAGGGACCCUCACUUCGGUCCCUCAACCGGCUAGUCUCUGCUCGCAAGGUCCUUGUGGGAAAACGAGACAAGGGAAGUGUCUCCUUUCGGAAUGCUCCCCCUGGAUGGCGUUCUUAUAUAUACGAAAUGGCGGCAACCGAGUGGAGCACUCCUUAAUUACUUCCCUUGUGGUUUCACACUCUGGUUGCAAGUGAGAAUGUUCUAAUUAAUUGGUGCGAAC